rnacentral:lncRNA from 1 species
CUCUUUUACAAUCUCUUCCAUGUUGGUAAGCACCAGGUCCAGCAACGCUUCACCUCUUGUUGGUCUGUCCAUUACCUAAACCAGAAAGAUAUUGUCAGUGGACUCCAAGAGUCUCCUGGGUCACUUGCAGAUCACAAUGUUGUUUUCUAGCAGAUAUCUGAGUGGUUGAAAUCUCCCAUCCAGAUGAGAACCCGUGAGCACAAUGCCUCUUGCAGCUGAAGCAAGAAGGCCUUGUCAACAGCUCCCCUUGAUCAGGCAGCUUGGAGUAGACCCUGACCACCAGAUGCCCUUUACUGGCCCUGUCCCUAAUCUUAACCCACAAGCUCUUAACCUGUUCCUGACUGUUUCUCAGGGGCAGCUCUCAGCAGAUUAUCCACUUCUUAACAAGAAGAGGGCCACUCCCCCACCUCUCCAAUUUGCCUAUCCCUUCUAAAAAGUUUACAGCCCUCAAUCAUGGUAUUCCUCUUGUGAGUCAUCCCACCGUGUUUCCAUGAUAGCAAUAAGAUUGUAGUUUUCCAAUUGCACCACAGUUUCCAAUUCCUCCUGCUUACUUCCCAUGAUGUGUGCAUUGGUACAGAGGCAUUUCAGCUGAAAGUGCCAAAGGUCACAUCUCUGUUUGCCUUGGACCCUUUAUAGAUACAGAUAUAAAACCAGAUAAAUAUGACUGUUUGGAGCUAAAUGCGUGUGCUGCAAGAGUGUGUUAUUAAUGAGAAAAAAGCCUGAAGGCACAGUGACUCCUAGCUCAUGGCCAGCAGACCAUUGCUGUUGUUCUGGGGAAGCAAAUGGGAAAAGCAGAGCCAGCCAAGGAGCAGACAGCCUACACAGGGAUGGAUUUUGCUCCUGGCCCUUUCUCAGGCAAGGCGAGAGCUUUUCCUGAGUGCAACCCACAAGACUGGAUCCACAGCUCCUCCGCCUGCAGCACUUCAAGACUUCCAGGUUGGAGACAAUGCGUCUGGAAAUUUGGGCUCCAUUAGGUUUUAAAUAGACUGCAGCUGCCUGAGAACUGGUGAUAGUUGCCCGACAUCCAGGUUCACUUAUAAGAGCAAGGAGAGGCAACUCACUGGGUGAUGUGAAUGGACAUAAGCCUGCUGCCAGGCACGUCUCCUGCUGGCUGCAGGGAGAUCCUGGUGUGUGAGGUGUGCCCGCCAGCGGCCGUGGCUUCCCAUGAGCACCUGCAGCUAUGGGCCUCUCUCCCAGGUGAAACCUCCUUGUCUCAGUUGGUGAAGUUGAAGCUGAACCUCAGUAAUAUGUGGCAAGGCUCUUCCUGCUGCAUAACAUUUUAAGCCAGAACUCCAAGGAUUAAUUUUAUAUUCUAGAGACUGCACUUUCUGCAUUUUUCCCUUGGUGUUUGCUUGGCGUCUUGUGAGCUGUACCUCCCAGUUGAACCUCUCAGCUGAAUACUGGCAUCCAGGAAUGCAACUCACCUUCUCUUCUGCUAUUAGCUCAUUUUACAUGCAUAAGCAAGACUUUCUGCAUCGUAUUCAGAGAUGUGAACCCGAAAUCAUCUCUUCUGGGACUACAAGGAAACUAAGGAGGCUAACAGUCACUCUUUGGGAGCAAUGCAAAUACCAAGAGGAAUGGUUCCCACCAGCGCUGGAGCGCUGACACACUCACUUGACAAGCACCUGCCCUGGCCUCAGGUACCUUCCAGCCUCCCACGGGUUUGUUACUGCAAGGGGUGUGCUCACCUAUCCGCUCACCUACCGUCAUCUGGGGUUUAAACUACAGCACCUGACCCAGUAUUUCAGAUGAUAGGGCAGUGACUCACUCAGAGACAUCUUAGCGUGAUGGAAGGAGCUCCUGCCCCAGCACCUGCCCUGCCACACUGCUGGAUCACACUGGUGCUACAGGGCAGCUGGACCUGUGUGGGGCACCUCUGCCACUAGGUCUUAGCCAGUGCCUCUGCACGUAUCACUUCAUCCCCCUAGGAAUUACCCACACUGUGACCAGCAGACCCAAGUAUGCUCUAAACUGUGCUUCUGGGGCAAAAGGAGGAUGGAUAUCCACUUUUUAUACCACUGGCUUGGUGUAAAGGAGCGUGUAGAUGGUGAGACGUGAGCCCCACCUCCUGCAGCUUCUUGAGGUUUUGCUUGCUCUUUGACAGGCACUUCAGACUGGCCUUUGAUCACCAGAGAUCAAGAGUAUUUCCACCCAUACAAGGUAAGUCUGUUGGUUGCACGGACAGCUCAGAGGAAAUGGAGCUCCUGUGAAGACCUGAUUUUGGGCGCAUCAGUUCUUGUACAAGGAUUUCAAGUGUUAGAGGAGUGUCUGGAUUUUAAAUGUCUCGUGUGCAGCACACUGCUCCAAAAAACUCUCUACGUUAGGCUAGUCCUCAGGCUUGAAUAUUCAUGAAGGUAUUUUCCUACAUGAGCAACAUGUCCUAUCUCAUGUCUUAUGCCUGCCUCGAAUUUAAAGUGUGUGAGUGCAGCUAAGCCUCAUGUCAGGUCACCUGCAACUACAGAUAACCGCAGAUAAGUGCUAUGGGUAAUGCUGCUCUGCUGGGAUGAGCUCAGCUCAGAAGUGGUUUCCAGCACUUCUUUCCCUUAAGCAAUGAGCUGAUCUGGGCUGAACGCUAUUGCCAUCCUAAGAUACAGGGAUGAAGGCUGGCCUGCCAGAUGUGCUGGUACCUUUGCAAUGCCCCUAGAGGUAUGGUUGUCCUGGAGCUGCCAUGGCAGUGGGGCUGAGCUUGUGUUGGACACUGCCGAAACUGUGACUGCUGUAACCAGUCUAUGUCUCUGAGGAUGUGAGGGACAGUGAGCAUUAGCCUGUGUCUGUGAGUAGAUCUGCCUCUUAUUCCUGAAACACUGGUGCAGUGCUCUCCCUCUCAAAGCCCCUCUUACAAACCUCUCCAUCACAUUUCUACUCUUUGCAGGCAUUGUCAUCAUUAGCAAGCCUUUGCUGUCCGGGGCUGUGUCUGCACUGAGGACUGUCUUUCAGGGAUGUAUAAGGAAACCUGAGGCUUUCUGAAAGCAUUCUUGCCCUUUCCCAUCCCUGUGAAGUCGGUUAUCAGUUCAGCAAAUUCUUACAUACAGAAAAUGCAUUUGCCUACAGCAGAGGAGGUAAGAAAACACUAAUGGUGAGCAAACUGACCUGAGGGGGAACAUUUCCAGUUCUUCUGUGGUGUUUUCCCUGCUCAUUAAAGCCCCUCCUCGGGCCUAGGGCUGUGUUUGAUGGCAGAUGAUAACAACUCCAGAAGUGUGUCCCAUUGCCCAAAGGCUGCUGCUGUGGGCUCCUCUCUGCACAGCACAGGCAAUAUCCCAGCUUCCAAUAAGGAAGAGGCUACCCUUGUGUUUCAACAUGAUCCAUCUCUGGUGGAGAAACCAGGCUUCCUUCUGCUGAGCUCCCCCUCUGUGGCCUUUUCCGUAGUUUUGCACGAGCUCAAAGGCAUUGCAACAAAAGCAGUGGGGAGAAGUCGCAGUGUGGAUUUGUCAUAUACCAAAACCCACAUUUCUUCUGUAUCUCUCCAGCUUCUCAGGAAACUGGCUGGAAAGAGACCAAGUUGAACAUAAUCUUAUCUUUCAGCCUAGUUAUUUUAAGCCCAAACGGGUUCCUUGAUCCCUUCCAACUGAAAACACCCCUUGGGAUAGUAGCAGCACAUUGAGCAGCCGGCGUGGGCACAGGAGAUCAGUGCUUUUCUGGCUAGAGCCACCUUUGGUGAUGCCAUCUCCCCACACAGAGGACAGAGCGGUUGCUGCUGUGGCGCUGCCUGCAUCGGUUGGACUUUGGUUGCCAGGGCAUCGUAAAAUGACUCAACGGGGAUCAGAAAGUGGUAGGAUCAAACAAAAGUCACUCUGAAGCUGCUGUCGGUUGGCAAAAGAAUAAUUUAAAAUUAAACCAGUUCUGAAACUAUCUACCGCAAGCGGUUACAAGCCUCAGUGUUGUAAAACUGGGCUGUUUCCUCUUUUCCUCGCAACGAUGAUGCCCUUGAUUCCUCCUUAGGCUUCUUUGGCAAUUCUUGCACGGUAAUAAAAAGGCAUGACACAGCAUAUGUUUUGUGGCUCACCUUGCCAAACAAAAUUACAACGUUAGUGUAGCUUCUUCGCCUUUGCAUAAUUAACUCUACAAAGGAGAGAGGGUAAGCAUCUGUGCCAAGACAGAAGCAAAAACAAGAAGUACGGAAGUCUGUUUUAAAGUCAUCUCUGUUCAAAGCAAUUCUUUUAAAAAUGACUUAUCUUGAAACUGUUGCAGACAAUUAGGGAAAGUCAUACAGUUUCUAAAUGUCUGUUAUGUUUUACGUCUGCAGCUACAUUGCUAAGAUGCAAAAAAAAAAGAAGUCGAUGCCUCUUUGAGAGCUCAUGAAAGCUGUGCUGGAGUGCAUCUUCUGCGCAACACGUGCUGGGGCCAGGAGGAUGCAGGCUGCCCAGGAGUGCUCAGUGCCCACUCUUCAGGCUCAGCUGGCAUCAUUCUCAUGUUUAAUAGCUUUCAGGACAGUCUCUGUGUUGCGCUGAACCACACAGUUGCCACAAGGGGAAUUUAGUGCAGGUGGAGGGGUAAGUGGGGUGAGAGGUGGGCCUGGUCCUGCUGCCUAUCCCACUGCCUUACUGUCAUCCUUGUUACCUAAACUAGUGUUAAUAGCUGAAUUAGGAUUCAAGCAGCCUGAGUAGUUCUAAUAUAGAGCAUUAAAGAGCAAAUCCUUUUUCCACUGAUGCCAAAGACAAGACUCCCAGAAAAAGGUCUGGCCCCUAGUUUCUGGCAAGUCCCCAGGCAGUCCAACUAAGUCAAGAAAAAAAGAAUAAGGGGAAAAAAAGAGAAGAGAAGAAGAGAAGAGAAGAGAAGAGAAGAGAAGAGAAGAGAAGAGAAGAGAAGAGAAGAGAAGAGAAGAGAAGAGAAGAGAAGAGAAGAGAAGAGAAGAGAAAAAGGAAGAAAAGGGAGGCGAAAUUAAAAGAAAAAGGGGAAAAUAGAAAAGAAAGAGAUGAGGAACACUUUACAACUAACUAUGGCAGCUGGCAGCAGGUCAUCCAGAUGGAGCAGGGAUCCUGCAUGCCUGCUCAGUCUCCCUUGCUCUUAGGCAGCCUCCAGACGUGAAACCUUGUCACGCUCUGCUACCAUAUCCAGUGCAACGCCCCACUGUGCACAGUGUUGUUCAGUCACAAAGAUGGUCUCUGUCUGCCCAAAGUUCUCACAGAGACCUUUGCACAAUGUCACUGCAGUCAAAACUUGUUUAUUAAAUGCUCACUUAGCAGAAAUGAGGUCAAAUCAUUUAAUGGCUAUUAAGAUGUUAAUGCAUUAAACACUAAAAUAUCACCUGUUUAUCUUAACCCUCAUUUACCUAAAUCACCUUAGCAUUCAUUGUGAUGACUGAGAUUUGACAGUGUUUGCUAAUUAUGUAAGAGUUGAGCUAGCACCAGUUGGUCUUACUGCUGCACCCAAGCACCUUGGUAACAAACAUUAUCAUCCACAGCAAACUGGAGCUAUUCCUAAAUAAUGAUGAUGAGAAAUUCCCAAAUACAGUAGAAAAAAGUCAAUGCCCGAAGAACAGCAAGAGGAGGGCUCUGCCUGGAAGGAAUCAUGACUGAAGCUGUGAAGUGUCAUCCAAAAUCACUGAUCCCUAUUGCUAAGCCAACCUAUGUUGAUAGCACCAUUCUGUGGCUGACCCAUCUGGCACAAAAGAGUCGCACAAAACCCUCCCAUUCAAUGUGGAGGCUUAAUGUCCAAGGUACACUUCAAAACACCUUCAUUCCCGUGCCACCGCCCCGUGGUCCCCACACCCUUGGAGUCUGAGGGAACAUCUCCAUGGCCCAAGCCCUGGUGCAGCAAGCUGGGGUGCCUCCAGGCAUCAGCAUCCCUCUCAGAGUUGGCACCGUUCAUGUCAUGGUGGUGCGUGCUCAGCAGCUGUAGCACUGAGUUCUGCUGCAGGGCUGAGCCCAGCUCUUUCUGCCCAUGGAGAUGAAUGCACGGUUGGCUCCCGAGCUGCAACUAAUAGAUUAAAGCUCCCAAUAAAUCAAGAGUUUUGCAAAAGCGUGAAUGACUGAUUUCACAAGGUGAUUAGAAUUAUCAAGGGAAAACAUUUGAAGUGCUCAAUAAUUUACACUAACCACCUGUACUUUUAAAAUAACUUUCCCCAUUCCCCUCCCUUAACUUUAAGGGAUUCUUGCCAUGUUCUUCAAGCCAUUUCCUUCCUUCCCUUCAGCUCUGAUUGCUGCGGAACACUCUUAAUAAAGAACGUACCGUAUCACUGGAGAUUGUUCUGGGGAUGAAAAAUGCAAUGUGAUUUAUUAUAACAUGGCCUAUGCAGGCAGCUGAUCUUAGCCUGCACUCUGCAUCCUUCCAAAAUCAAAACAAUUUGCAAUGUAAUAUUGUGAAAUUGGGUUUGUAUUCCAGUUUGCAUUUUAUGAUUCUUAUCCUUAAGAAAGCAUUUCCAAAUGCAUUUUCAGUUAGUUAGGUUUUUCCAUGCCUGCUUUUCGCUUUCAACAGUGCUAGCAAAGUCAUGCAUGGUUUGAAAGGUUUUACGCGUAAAUUUGGAACUCGUAUCACACCCUACUGAGCAGUGGGGACUGUUCAUUUAUUUGUUUAUUAAGUAGGAGUUAUUUUCUCUCCAGCAUGCUAUAAAGCCAGCUCUUUGACCUCAUUCCUCAACACGGACAAGAACUGAAUUCCUGGAAUAAAGAAAAAAAAUGGAGAAAAUGCACUCCCAUUUUGACAAAAAUAACUGAAGAGAUCCUUCCAACUCAAAAAAGCCUUCAGGAAAAAAUGUGGGACAUAUCCUUCACAGGUUGUCAACCUUCCAUUGGAAGCAGAAGAUCCAUGACAAUUCAUGCCACAGAGGUUUGCUGCCAGGUGGCGGAGGACAAAGUUCACUCUGGAGUGGUUUGCUAGCAGGGCAGUUGCGCAGUGCGUGGAAGUGCCCAGAUGGGAGGCAGGGAGAAGAUGGAAGGCAGAGAACUGAGGUGUGCAGAGGUGACUGGGAGGACACAUCACAGCCCCAUCUCUGAGAAGGGCCAGGAUGAUAGCUUAGGAAAAUGCAGACACGAAGGGCAGUUGGGCAGUGGUACAGUCCCAGCUAAAUCCCUAGUUGUAAAGAGCCCCGAAGGACUUUUUAUGCAGGAAUUUGCCUAACCACAUUUUAAGUCUGGUUAUACAUUGACAAGAAAAAAUGACCCACGGUGAGGCGUUCACACAGCCUGCUCUUUCACUUUGAUAGCCCCAGGCUUCUGCACCAUGAGAAGCAGUGGGUUAACAUGCCACCUGCACCCUGACUGUGCCACCUGGGACAGAUCUCAGGGCUGCCUGAGUUUAUUUUCCAAUAUUUCAACUAAAGAAAAUACCCACUAGCUGAUCUAUGAUAGAGAAAGUAAAAUAAGUAUCUGUACGUGUGCUCAACACAAAUAACUUACUUGAGAAACCCCUCAUACACCUCUGCUUUAUUGUUUUAUUUUCCAGUGGUGGUUUAUGGUGUUGUGAUGAAGCCAGAGGUUUGACACAAAGAGGUAGUCUUUACCCAGAUACUAAUAUUCAGUAGGUCAUCUUGUGAAAACAUACUGGAAUAGAAAUGAAGAGGGAAGGGGCUAGGAAGGGAAAAAGGAAGGAAAAGCUGGACAGUUCAGGGAGCAAAGAAAAUAGCCACAGUGCCACUAGACAGAGAAAUAGAAUGCAAAUAGUGGGGUGAAGACCCACUUUGUAGAGGGACUCCCAUUCAUGAUUAUAUGGUAGAUAAAAGUUCAGUGAAACAGAAGCACACCAGCUGCAUUCACCUGGAGACUGUUGGCACCAUGUUGUUGACUGCAGCUUCUCUUGCAGAUGCAAACAUGAUCUCUGCUGUUGUGACACAAGCUGGGGUGAGCUGUCCUUCCAGCUCCUUCUGCAAAAGUGCCAAGAGCAUGACAAGUGGGGUCCAACAUACUGGUUUUGGCCAGCUCUCCCCAAAGCCAACAGGAGCCUUGAGUCAGGCCACAGGUAGGCGCAGGGCUUUGAGCAAGCUUAAAAAAAUAAAUAAUUACCCAUCCCUGUCCUCAUGGGGAUGCCUCUCAGAUCUUCCUGCAGCUUUCUUCACAGCUUGUUUGGAGCAUUAUGUAGUCUGACCCAAAUUCCAAGAGCACCAUCAGGACAGUUCUCCAGCUGAUGCCGUGGAUGCUCAGUUAGACUACGACACUACCACAGCAGCUUGUAAAUUUGUUUUUCUUCUUUUCGUAGGAGCUUCCAAUGACUCAAAGAGCAAUCAUUGGAUGAUAUAUCAAACUCCAACUGCUAGAUAAAGAAGAGAAAUCGGAGUGCCUGCAAGGAUACCAGCUAUUGUUGUAUCAUCAUAGCUCUUCUGUAACAUUUUCUUCUCAUGAGGUGAUAUGAAGUGCAUGGAGAGGAGUAAGUUAUAAAGUUGUACUAAUGUGAUUGUUUGGGAUGUUAAAACAAAGUCAACAAUUCCUUUACAAACCAUCCCAGCUUCUGGGCAGAUAUCCCUGGAAGCUUCAGGAGUCCUCUUUGAUCCUGGCUGCCCCAUAAAGAAACAUCGUUUAUACUGAAUUAAUUAGCUGCCACUUAACCCUGGCGCCAAGAGUUGAUGUCAUGAGGCAAAACAAAAUGGAGCUAAUGAAAUCAAUAACAUCAUUAAAAUAACUCACAGCAGAGUUACUGACUGCCGUGCCGACUGUGCUUAUGGACCAAUUGCUCAGCACGUAAAGGGACUUCUGCAAGAACAUGUUCAAGCUAUGAAUGGCAGCCAGCAGCCAACUUGACAUCACUCUGCUCAGGUGAGCUUUUCCAGGACUGCACAGGGAGGUUGCAUGGGCACAGCCUUGGCCUGGAAGUGUCAGAUUGGUUUGGACAGAUGGCAGUAAGGAGUAGAGGGCAAGGUGCUCCCAAAGCAAAUUUCUGAGUGGGAGUUUUAAGCAGGAAGGUACAUUUAGGUAGAGCUUUUCUACUAUUAAUGAAGCUAGAGUAAGACAUUACUAGGAACAAUGCACACCAUGCACAGGAACAAGCUGACCUGGAAAGAUUAAUCUGUCCCUGAAGGCCUGAAGCAUCUUGGUUGGCUGCUGAGAAGCUGAAGCCCUGAUCAACAGUGCUUAAAGAGCAUGGACCACAGUGAGCUCUGGCUCAGUGAGAACUUCUUGAUGCUGUGCUUGCAGGCCUGAGCCCCCAUCAUUGGAAACACACUGUAAUGUCAAUGCUUAAUUGAAUGAAAGAUCUAACUGCAUGCUUCUUACACAGAAUUUCCAAAUGUUUGCAAAGUCUAAGCCCCCUCACUGUGCAAAGAUAUAAUAGAUACCGUCAAAAAGUCUUAAGACAGACAAACAGCAAUGGUAAGUCUUUCACUGUUCAAGUUUUACACAAUGUUUUCACCACUGUUAUCCGGCUCUCCUGUAUUUAAUGACAAGUUCAUAGGCGGGGGCAGGUAAUUGUGAACAUUAAUAUUAAUUUUUCCUGACACAACUAAGUGCUAAAUAUGCAGAAGCAUAUCUAUUUAGCUCUGUGCUGGUGCUCUUUCUGUGCUCUUCCCUGAACUGACUGCUGCUAUCAUCUCUUUAAGUUAGCUCCUUCCUGACUAGAUGCUCUGCAGUAUUUGAUUCUGACUUAUACAGGAAACUUGGGUCUGCAGGCAAAGGUGAAAGGCAGCUGGGGUGAGAGUGACCUUCAAGUGGCAAAUCUGAGGCAGAAAGGACAUUUGAAGAGUUAACAGUGCUGUAAGGAAGUUGUGUGGAAGGCACAAUCACAGAAGAAAUAGUAAAGAACUGCUUGUGAACUGCUUGGUAGCAGGGCAACUUAGCACAAGCCCUACAGGAGGCCCACAAGGUACAAAGUGAUUAAAUCAUGAGCUCUUCAUUAGUUUCAGAUGUGCAGUGGAAGCAGACAGAAAGUCAAACUAGGUCAUGUUACUAAGAGGAGGAAUGAAAUGAAAAAGAUAUAGGUGAUGCAACGAGCAGUGGGCGUGAAGUUUAUGCACUUGAAGUAAAAGGAGGGCCAGAGAAAGACCUGAGUUUCACAAGGAGGAGUUACUCAGUGACGAUACCAAAGACCUAAAUGGUUGUUACUUUCUUCCUUUGGUCUACUCAAAGGUGCCCAAGGAGUCAGAGAGCAAGCAGCUUAAUUUCAAUUCCUGGAAAAUGCUGGAAGUGGAAAUUGGUUAAGCUCUUUUCCAGCACCUAGAUGACAGCAAGCAGAUGAGGAACAGCGAGCACUGAUUUGACAAAAACAAAUCACAUCCAAUCAAUCUAAUUUCCUUCUGUAGUAGGCCUUAGAUCUUGAUUUUAGUAAAGCUUUUGCCAUUGUCUCACCUGACACUUUCAUAAACUAAGUAAAGAAACAUGGUUUAGAAGAAACUGCUAUUAGAGGAGUGUACAGCUGGUUGGAAAACCAGACUAAAAGCAGUUAUAAAUGCUUCACUGUCAAACUGGCGGUACGUAUCAAAUGAAGUCUGAAGCCAUCUGUUUUGUGUCUGGCAGUGUACGGUAUUUUCAUUAAUAUCUUUGAAGAAAUGAGAGUAGGGAACACUUAUUAAAUUAGCACAGGACACCAUGGAGAACAAGCGCUUUGGAGAAACAGGAUGAGAAUGCAAAACAAUCUUGACAAAUUGGAGGAAUGCUGGGGAAAACAAACGCCAUUGAGCAGGGACAAAGCAGAGCUCUGCAGUUGCGUAGGCGUCAUCAAGUACUAAAAGACGGCUGGGAAACAACCGGCACAGCAGCAGUUCUGCAGAAGAUCUAGGGAUGACAGCUCAACAUGAAUGAGCACGGUCAUGCUGCAGUAAAAAAUGAAAGUGCUGUAAUGAGGUGUACAAACAGAAGUUCAAUCUGCAAGAAACAGGAAAUAAUUCUUUCCCGCUUGUCUAUGCUGUGAAGACUUCAUUUGAACUGUGCAGGUUCGGCCACUGCAGUUCAGGACAGUUUCAGGACUGGAUAAGCUUGAGGAUUCAACUCAGCCUGCAGCCGAACACCUCAAACAUGGGAGGCCAUUCCACACUGAGGACAACUGAACCAAACAGAGUAAUCGUAUCUUUAGUUAAUGAAACAGCUUCGGUUAGAAAAAGAGGGUGAUAGGAAGGCAUAAAACCAGCAUGAAUUGAUUCAGCUUAAUAAAAUGAGCUGGUUUUAUUAUUUGCUUGCAGCCUACUUCGUAUUAUUCCCCUGGCAGAAGUGACAUCUCAUCACAAGCUUUUGGGAAUCUGUUGUUAAGGGUUUCCUCUUGCAGCUUACAGAGCAAUACCAUAGCUAUGCAAAAUUUCUACAAACUCACACUUUCUCCUCUCUUACCUUGAUGGUAACCUCCUCUCUAAUCUCCUGGUCUGUCAAAUGCUUCCUGUUGGCUGCUGUAGACAUCCUUGCUUGUGCCUCGAUGCAUCUUUUAGCUGUGACAGCCACAACACAACUCCCUGCCUUCCCUCAGGUGCCUAGAAAUGCAGCUCUGUCAUCUUCCUGUUCACGUUUAGCCUGCCCCCUGAAGUCCUCCAGGCUUUUAUUAUCAUGCAGGUUUGUGUUCCUCUCUACUCAUUAACCUCUUUUCCUCUAGCCUUGUCUCUUCUCUUUGCCACAUUAGACUUCUGCACUUCAUCACAUCAAGUCUGCAGCAGAUGUUUCCCUGGCUGCCCACAGACCUCGCACUCAGUGCAAGAAAGGGAAACUCCAUCUCAGUUGAAGUGAAACACAAAGAGGGAACUCUGGUAGUCCUCAGCAAUCCCAUCUGAAUCCUAUCUCAAGUCCAGAGGUAUUUCCUUUCUCUUUUCAUGAGAUUCAUUCACUUCUCCUUUCUCAUGACCCAGUCUCCUACUUGUACAGCAGAACUGAUGGCUCAGAUGGUGCCUUCUGACCUUAAAUGCCUGAAGGUUAACUAAGAAUGGGGGCUCGUGGCACAAGUAAGAGCACAGCAUGUUUUUAAAGAAACGCCUUGGAUAUGUUCAUACACUGCCAUAAAACGUAGCAGCUUGGCUUUGUUCAUUUGUUUUACCACUUGUUGUCUUCUUGCUAACUCUGUACUUCUCUGAAGUGAAGUUCAUCAGUGCACUGACACAGCGACGUAGUUAUGUAUGCCAGGCACAUAAAACACUGCCUAGCCGUAUUUUUGUUAGAAGAGAUGUCACACGUGUACCACAUGUUAGUGUGGCUGACUGUGUCUCCCUGGAGCUGGGUUUCCUCACAUCAGCAGGGAACUGGGCUGGUAGUGGGCCUGGACCAGUAGAUAUGCAGGGACAUGGACGAGGAGCAUUUUGUAAGGUUGAUCUCCCAGGGGGGAUUAUAAUCCAAUUCAUUAUACAGCAACUGGGAGUCCCCUGUGCAUCUCUAUGUCUGUAGAGGUGGAUGUAGAUGCAAGUUGCAGCUUGGAGCAGAAGCACGUGAAGGUGAGGGUAGAUCUCAUCAGUGUGUGGGGAUGAUACUUGUCUCUAACUGCACACAAAGGACAUUUCAUCUUUCCUCCCAGCUCAUCCACUUCCCCUCCCAUAAAGGACAUAAAAAGAAACCAAACAAGAAGAGCAGCCAGUAGAAACUAUCACAUGUUUGGGGAAAGCUCGCAGGACAAAUAUUUCAAACCAGAACUGCCUGAGAUGACCUUACAAGCAAAAUAGACAACACCUACGUAUUGCGAUGGAAAUGACAAAGCAGGGAAAUUGUUGCAAACGCAGCACAAAUGGACACUAGCUGCAGAUUACACAGAUUAGCAGAGCAUUACAAAUUGUACAAAGGAAACGCUCAAUUUUUCUUUUCAGUAUUAAUAAAAGACACCUGAAAUCAGCAGUACCAAUGAUUCCCUUUGUGAAUCUCAGGCAAUAUGUUGGACAGCCACAUGUUUCUCGCUGGCAUCAAGCAGCCUUGCUUUUACUGCAAGAGAAGUAAGAAAUUCCACCAACGUCAGGGGCACCACGCAGCCGUCUCUCUGUACUCAUUCCUGAAAUGAUCUGAAAUCUAACAGAAGGCAUUUUAUUGACAGCUAUCGUGCCUAUUAGCUUUCAUAUGUUUUCAGGACUUCUCAGAAGGAGCUGGUUCAGGACCUCUUCCAGAGGGACCUGUUCAUCAGCCCACCCCAAGUGACCAUUGGAGGCUGUGCAGUGAUGCUCACUUCCAGGGCUGUAGUCCCCUGGGCAUGAGGCUACCUAUGGCCUAGAGCUUGGGCAGGAAAGCCAGGACAGGCAACCAGGAGGCAGCUCAUAGGCUGGCAGCCUCCACAGCUGCUUGUGCUGCUUGGGGCCUCGUGACUGUCUGUGUGCCAUCCUCAAGCGAGAGUCUGGAGAGUGGGGCGAUGCACCCUGUGGUAAUUUCUGCAGUGUUGCAGGCCAGGAAGCACCAGCAGAAGAGAUGUUAUGACAGUGCAAACAGUUACCUCCGCUGCAGGCAUGAUAGGAAGUGACAAUGCAAACAGAAAUGUAACCUGUCAAGGCCACAGCUACAUGCUUGGGUAGACGAGCUUGUCGUUUAACCAAGAGCAGUGCCACAGCUCCCUGCUUCCCAGUGCUUGAAGGCAUCUGCACACAAGAAAGCCACCCCAAAGCUCCGACCUUUCCAUAUGAGUAAGGCUAAAGGACAAUGCUUCUGCUUCCUGGCAUCAGUCUGUGUGUGUGCGUGUCAGCACUAAUUACAGCCAGCAGGAUGGUGAUUUUCAGAUGUAAAAGCUUUCAAUGCCAGCACGGGCCUUGCAGUGCUGCAGUGGAAAAUAUUAAGAGAGGAUUACCAGAAGGCCCAGAAGAAAUAAUAUCACAGCGAAAGGAAAUUAUACUGAGGAGCACAAUGUUUGACUUACAACUGUUGUGGUCUGAAACAUAAAUCCACACGGUACCGAGUGUCUGGAAAACUGAACACCAACUGUAAUGAAAGUAAUCAUUUUGCUAAAGUAUUCUUUACAAAGGGCAACACUUAAAGACAUGUGUUGAUUAAGGUAAAAAUCUAUGGAUGCUGGCCCAGCUCUGGAAGGGCUUCUAAGAUGAGUGCUAGCUCUGUGCACACGAAUGUGGUGUUUGAGGUGGCAAGCCCUGCCAGGGUGAAAUCCCAUGUACCUCUGCCUUUGGAGAGAAGAGGAAAAUGUGCCUUGCUUCUGCUGUGAGACUGACGGAUAAGGAAGUGCUAAGCUUCAUCCUCCCUUCUGCAUGCUGCUGGGGCAUGCAGAUGACAGCAGAACCAGCCAGAAGGUGCAAAUAUCUGAAGCAGAAGGCGGUGGAUUAGAGAUGGUUUUGGAGGCCACUGGGGAGACAAGAAGUGGAAAAUGAAGAAAACAGAAACCAAGUCUGAAGAAAUAACAAAUUCCAGAAAAUGAGAGAAAAAAUCAGGGGAUGAAAAGAAGAUGGAGGAAGGAAGGAAAGAGAUAUCUAGAAAAAGAAGCAUGGAAAGGGUCAAGUCGGAAGCAGCUGAAAGCAGAAACUUCAAAGAAAAAGGCAAUUUAUAUUCAGACUCUUUGGAAACCCUUGUUAUCUAUGACCAACAGGGUCCUGGUACUUACUAGGUAUAGACAUAAAAGGGUUGUAGAAGAGUAAGACAAUGGUUUAAACAUGUACAAGCCAGAGGAAAGGAAAACUCAGCUCCUGAAAGGAAGGGAAAAGAAAGCAAGGGAGGGUCAUUUUAAAAUUGGCUGAAUUAUCUUUUAAUGUUUGGUAAAGCUACACUCUACAGAUGCUAGAAAUUUAAGAGGCACAAAAACUGGGAUUAGUAUAAAAUCCUGUGGACAUGGAGAGCAUUUUGAAGGCAGGAGAUAUAGCUUGUGAGACAGGCACCCCAUGUCCCAGGUGGUGACUGCAACCACCUCUUCUGAAGCCAGGCCUGCUCAAGUAUGGCCAGCAGAGCACCCACGAGGAGCAUGCAUCUGGCAGGCGGCCAUAAAAAACAGAGGACAUCCUACCAGGGCUGACCAGUACUCAUACAGAAUCAAAGCUGGGAUCUAGCCCCUGCCAAUGCCAAGUCUGAACAGGCCAGCUGUGGCCUGGCAAUAGCAGGGCUGCUCCAACCAUGGCAGUCUGUGAACAGAAGUCUGCCACAGACAUGAGAACCAAGCACCUUGUCCCAUCAUUACAAGGGCAGCAUCCCCAGGUGGCCAGGGAUGGUGGAGGAGGACCUUUGAGCUGGGGUGACACUGAGCUCUUUUGUACUGCAUUCACCCCAUCAGCACUGUGAGAGCAGCUGGUGUGGUUGGGUCCACUUGAAGGCAACCUCCAAAUCAAAUGGAGGCAUAAAGACAACACUGAUGACCAUGAAGUCAAACACCAGACCAAAAUACUCGAGUGGUUCAAAUGCACUGAAGCCAUACAAUGGCUGAGCGAUUGAAAUAGAAAAGGAGUAUGUAUGAGUGUGACCAAAGAAGGUAAAAAAAUUAUUUUGAGUGCUGUUUGUUGCAGACAGAGGAAACUCUCUCUGUUAGGCAACUGAGCUAGUUAACAACACAUACAACAUUACAUGUACACUAGGAAGGAGUGUGGUCUGGGCAUUGCCACUGUUUAAGAAAGAGCCCUCUCAUGUAUUUCCCAGGAGCCUGAACGGUUACUUCAUGUGUGAGAACGUCAGGCUGUGACCUGCAGGAAAAGAGAGGGCAUGAGGGAGCCAGAUGGCUGAGUGACCCCAGUGCUGUUCCCAGAAGAAGCAGGAGCAGGCAAGGAAAAAUCUGGUGGCUGGAAGGAAAAGUGAGCCCUAGGCAGGUCCCUCCAUGCUCUGGGUCUCUACUGUUCCCUCUCCCACCAGCCCCCUUUUCUCCUCUGAGCCAGCUUCUCAUCAUACCAGACUGCCCAACUCCCACUCCCCCACCAUCUCAUCCACCACAGCUGCAAUUUUCCAACUCCGGUAAGAAACAGAAGUAUCAGCAUAGCAUAUGCAUGUGCUUGCUGAGGGACGGGAGCAGAAACCUUCCCACCUCUUAGUAGUGUCUCCAGCUGCUGCCUUGCUCUGCCUUCCCAAUCUGCCACAUUCUUUAUGUCCCACGUGGCUGCUUUGGCACAGCUCAAGUGAGUGUGGGGAGCAGCAGUGGCCUGUGGUGGCCAUGGUGACUCAUACUGGCUCUCCAGCCAAGACAGACAGGGGAUACCCCAUAAGCAGAUGCUGGUGACCCCAGCAUGUGAGUGCUACUCUGGCCACCACCACUGCCAUGAAGCCUCUAUGUCUGUCUUACACACAGGUACUGUACAUGACUGAUGUAAUGCACAGGGUCUCAUGCAGUGAUGAGUUUUCCCACACAGGCACUCCCCUCCAUCUCUCUACUGAGCAGGAGGCCAGUUUCUAAUGUCUGCCCUUCACUUCAAAUCCUUGGUUUAUGAAACUGGAGGAAAACCCUGAGACAGCAGGUUGAGACUGACACCAGGGAGAGAGUUAACUCAUUUCCACGGCUGGUAAUUCUCCCCACCAGCCCACGCAGCAUCAGAGCAGCUCCGUAAGCCUCAGCAUAGACUCUUGGCCUGUUCUACAGGUGGUGGAAACUUGUAGUAUAUGGUGUAAAAUGCCUACAGGAAGGUGUUUGUGACAGGGCCAAUGGCUAGUGCAUAUACCUGCCCCAAGGCAGGUUCUGUUGUUGUUCCACCACUGCAGAAAUGAUGUAACACUGGUUUUAUUACAGUGCUGGAAUCCGGCAGUGUUUUGCACCUGGAAGGCUGCAUCUGACACCCACCUGUGAGGCAUCAGUCCAUGAAGACUGGGGCUCUGCUUUGGUUUUGCGGUCACUGCUGCUAAUGCGAGAAAACGGACAGGGCAAAAAACAGGAGAUAAAAGGCAGUCAAAGCACUGCUGAAAAAAUACCAGAUAGUUGUAACUCUUAGGACUAACCUUCGGUGUCAGAGGAGUCAAUGCCUCUAUUUUGAAAGGAUGAGCCAUUUUGCGGGUAUAACAGCAAUGCACUUCAUAAUCC